rnacentral:rRNA from 1 species
CUUGCACAAUGGGCGAAAGCCUGAUGCAGCCAUGCCGCGUGAAUGAUGAAGGCCUUAGGGUUGUAAAAUUCUUUCGCUAGGGAUGAUAAUGACAGUACCUAGUAAAGAAGCCCGGCUAAUUCG